CAGUCGCCGCGGGAAUACGGAGGGUGCAAGCGUUAAUCGGAAUUACUGGGCGUAAAGCGCACGCAGGCGGUCUGACAAGUCAGAUGUGAAAUCCCCGGGCUUAACCUGGGAACUGCAUUUGAAACUGUCAGGCUGGAGUCUUGUAGAGGGGGGUAGAAUUCCAGGUGUAGCGGUGAAAUGCGUAGAGAUCUGGAGGAAUACCGGUGGCGAAGGCGGCCCCCUGGACAAAGACUGACGCUCAGGUGCGAAAGCGUGGGGAGCAAACAGGAUUAGAGACCCGAGUAGUCCCUGUCUCUUAUAC
rnacentral:rRNA from 1 species